UACAGAGGGUGCAAGCGUUGUUCGGAAUUAUUGGGCGUAAAGCGCUUGUAGGCGGUCUGUUAAGUCGCGUGUGAAAUCCCCAGGCUUAACCUGGGAAGUGCGCGCGAAACUGGCGGACUUGAGUGCCGGAGAGGGUCGCGGAAUUCCCGGUGUAGAGGUGAAAUUCGUAGAUAUUGGGAAGAACACCGGUGGCGAAGGCGGCUCACUGGCUCAUUACUGACGCUCAGGCGCGAUAGCGUGGGGAUCAAACAGG
rnacentral:rRNA from 1 species